UGCUGCGGGUACUCGAGUGGCGAACGGGUGAGUAACACGUGGGUGAUCUGCCUUGCACUUCGGGAUAAGCUUGGGAAACUGGGUCUAAUACCGGAUAGGACAGCUGUUUAGUGUCAGUUGUGGAAAGUUUUUUCGGUGCAAGAUGAGCUCGCGGCCUAUCAGCUUGUUGGUGGGGUAAUGGCCUACCAAGGCGUCGACGGGUAGCCGGCCUGAGAGGGUGUACGGCCACAUUGGGACUGAGAUACGGCCCAGACUCCUACGGGAGGCAGCAGUGGGGAAUAUUGCACAAUGGGCGGAAGCCUGAUGCAGCGACGCCGCGUGGGGGAUGAAGGCCUUCGGGUUGUAAACUCCUUUCGACAGGGACGAAGCGUAAGUGACGGUACCUGUAUAAGAAGCACCGGCUAACUACGUGCCAGCAGCCGCGGUAAUACGUAGGGUGCGAGCGUUGUCCGGAAUUACUGGGCGUAAAGAGCUCGUAGGUGGUUUGUCGCGUCGUCUGUGAAAUUCCGGGGCUUAACUCCGGGCGUGCAGGCGAUACGGGCUGACUUGAGUGCUGUAGGGGAGACUGGAAUUCCUGGUGUAGCGGUGAAAUGCGCAGAUAUCAGGAGGAACACCGAUGGCGAAGGCAGGUCUCUGGGCAGUAACUGACGCUGAGGAGCGAAAGCAUGGGUAGCGAACAGGAUUAGAUACCCUGGUAGUCCAUGCCGUAAACGGUGGGCGCUAGGUGUAGGGGGCUUCCACGUCUUCUGUGCCGUAGCUAACGCAUUAAGCGCCCCGCCUGGGGAGUACUGCCGCAAGGCCUA
rnacentral:rRNA from 1 species